GGUGGAAACGGAUGGAGCCGACGGAACGGCCUGUUUGACGUUGCGAACUGCGGUUUGCGAUGCGACUGCGGGUGCAGUGCGCUGAGGGCUGCGAUCGCCUGGUGCAAGAGUGGGAUAACAGGGCUCGGCACUUCGGUGUCGCAGCUUCUCCUGCUAGAAGCGCUGUGGUGGCUGCGGUGAAAGGGAAAAGGACCGGCAGAAGAUCGUGUUCGUUCGCGUCGGUUGGUGAUCGCUUGCGUGACCCUCCCGGCGUGUUCGUUCGCUUUCGACUGGCCCUCCUGCGACUCGGUGUGAGAGUCGGUCACCCAUCCGACCCGUCUUGAAACACGGACCAAGGAGUUUACCGCGUGCGCGAGUCAAUGAGUGGGAAAACUCAGAGGCGCAACGAAAGUGAGUGGUGUGCGAUCUGCUUUAGGCAGCGCAGCACAGCCCUGCGUCACCUAAGCGGUGGUGUGGAGGCAGAGCGUACGCGAUGAGACCCGAAAGAUGGUGAACUAUUCCUGAGCAGGUCGAAGGGGAGGGAAACUUUCCUGUGGAAGCUCCGCGAAGCGG
rnacentral:rRNA from 1 species